CGGACCAGAGCUUGUCACCGACAGGUCCCAGAAGCGGAAACACACGCAACGUGACUUGUGAUGAUCUUUGUAAACAAAGUGAAUGUUUGGCUUUAAGCAGCGUGGAGCAGGAAUGUCGUCUCGAUAAUCUUUUGACUUGAAGCUCCAGGAUGUUGUGUGAAGUCCUGCUGUCGUCCCUAUGGUUCCUGUUUGUUAUCUUCUGGGUGGAGACAAUAAGCGUGUGGCUGUUUCUGUCCAUGUUCUACCAGGACCGGGGGUUUUACCACUGGGGAGAUGGGGUUUUCGCAGAGGAUCCUGGACAACUGAUAUACAUGUUAAGCAGACACACGGAUGCAGACAGAGACUGAGUCAGGAAAAGAUCAAGCUGUCAACUGGAAGACACGUAAUGGAGGGGGUGCUGCUGUUAUGUGACAGGGGAACAUAUCACACUGCUUUGCACAGCCCUUGUUAACAUAAGUAAUGUUGGCCCACUUAAAAAAAAAAUAGGUGGUGAAGUGCAGCAUGACUCAAGGCACAACUGUGAACAGGAAGCUCCGCAGUGAUUAAUGUGUCACCUCCACCAAUUGUAACAUUUUCACUUUCAGGUUUUUCGAGAAGCAAAAUAAUGUCGAAGAAAAUGCAAUACAAAGUUCAUCACAUUGUCCUUUCAUUUCAUGAACUCCAUUUGAAGAGUAAUACUGAGAUGAUAUUUUGAUCACACUACCCUUCUAUGCAAUGACAGUUGUAACUGUCUGCAGCUAUAUUUACUUUACAUUUCAUUGAGCUGACGCUUUUAUCCAAAGCAACUUACAAUAAUUUGUGUUUUAACCGUCAGAUUGCAGUGAAUCUGUUAUAAAUGAGGCGUAUGAAUGUUGCCGGCAGUUUUCUGAUAUUUUGGUGCAUGUGUGAUGAUGCACGCUUAACAAGGAGCUUAUUGUUUUGGUGGUGGAGUCAUGUACUUGGGUUUUUCAUGUAAGUCAGGACCUAGAGCAAAGAUUAUUGUGAAGAGUUGUUUAUUGUUCAAGGAUUUUUAUAAUUUUGACACCAUGAUCUCAUCUAUACUAAAUCAAACGGCAUCAGGAGGAUCAUUAUUUGAGCUUGAAGGCUCAUUAUUAACAGAUGCAAUAUUUCUAUUUUAGAUUUUCCAGAGCUUCCAGAGACAUCUGGUUUUUUAUUUGUGGAUGGAUUUUGCUCUGUUGUCAUUCUACACUGAGCUCAGGUGAUAACUGAGCAAUCUCCACGGCAAGUGUGCUAAUGAAAAUAAGGAGAUAAGACUGAAAGCCGUGGAAUCUGAUCCAAGGAAUUUUAUGUCAAAGAGGAGCAAACUAGAUUUGUGUUAUUGUGGAAAAUAAUAGUGGGGAUGAGAGUGUAACCCCCAUAUGUAUCAUUUAAUGGAAACAAUUUGUCAAUGCCAUAUCCAUUUAAUGAAAUACAAGUAUUUUUUAAAAUACUUAUAAAUAUGUAUCGCUUUGCAAGCCUGAAAUAUUGUCUGUCUUAUCUUUUUUUCUAUUCCAUCUCGUCCUCUGUUCAUUAAAGCCUUUGCUUUAAAAAAAA